rnacentral:lncRNA from 1 species
AAUAUAAACAACAAGAAUGUGUCCAUCGUACAAGGAUGGCCCACUCGCACUAUCAUUUUCCAUGUUCAGUGGACCGUAAUGGAGCUACCAUUUGAUUUUUAUGGGGGGGCUAGGAUGAAAUUUGAAAAAAAUAGGCAGGACAGGAGUUUUGAGUAAAAAAAAAAGGCAGGAUGAGACACUUGCAAAAAAAAAAAGUCAGGACGACAAUUUAGGUAAAAAAAAAGUCAGGAUAAACUAAAAAAAAAAGGCAGGACCGAACAGAGUGAAAAAUAAAAAGGCAGGACAGAGAUUAUAGCUAAAAAAAAAUGCAGGACAAAAUUUUUCAUCCUAGCCCCCCCAUAAAAAUCAAAUGGUAGCUCCCUAAA